CAGGGAAAGGGGAGGAGGGCUAGAAGAUAAGUCUUGUGUGAUGUUGUUGGGGGCGGCUGAAGAGAAGGGUAAUUGUGACCGCAAGCUGCUUUAGAGGGCUGGAUAAGGUCAGGUGUCGACUGGGGCGCAGAGGAAGGAGGUCUGCUGGUAGCUCAGCUGCGGAGCUCUGAAAAGAAAAACCUAGGCUUCAGUAGCAAACUGAGUGAUGAACCCCAUCGUCUUGACUCUGACUUACGACAGUUUGGACUUCCAAAAAACAGCUUUAGAUUUAUCACUGGAUAAGUAUGUUGAGGAACACAAGUUCAGCCAACAGUUCUAGAAAAGGAUGUCUAUCUAGUUCAGGAAUUCUAAAACACAACUGUGUCACAGAGGCUCAAAAAGAGGUGCAAACUGAGCCCAGGAAGAGGAAGAAGAGCGAAAGGACAUGGCAUCUUCUCUGCAGCUCUGUGGCCCAUUGGAUCGAGGGAUUUGGUGAGCCUUGGCCUGAGAUAUCUUGGCUUGAGAUGUGGCUGUAAAGUGAAUUUCCAAAACCAUGGCAGUACCUUCUUACAAAAAGAGCAGGUCGGGCGCGGUGGCUCAAGCCUAUCCCAGCACUUUGGGAGGCCGAAGAGGCGGGUGGAUCACGAGUUCAAGAGAUCAAGACCAUCCUGGCCAACAUGGUGAAACUCUGUCUCUACUAAAAAUAUAAAAAUUAGCUGGGUGUGAUGGCGGGCGCCUGUACAGCAGUCCCAGCUUCUCGGGAGGCUGAGGCAGGAGAAUGCCUUGAACCUCGGAGAUGGAAGUUGCAGUCAAGAUCACGCCACUGCACCCCAGCCUGGGCGACAGAGUGAGACUCUGUCUCAAAAAGAAAAAAAAAAGAGCAAAGCAGAGGAUACGCCCCAGUCACCUUCUGGGAUGGCUAAAGCUGCAGGACUUGAUUAAAGUAGAAGUGCUUCUAACUCAACUGAGGUCUCUGCAGGAUUUCCUAACCUGAGAAAGUCCCCAGGGUAUUCUGGGAGCCAGCAGGAAGCCGGGGUUGGAGCAGAUAAUGUGCUCUGUUUAUUCUUUUUAGAGAAAAUCAGCAAUUCA